rnacentral:rRNA from 1 species
UCGAGAAUUUUUCACAAUGGGCGCAAGCCUGAUGGAGCGACGCCGCGUGGGGGAUGAAUGGCUUCGGCCCGUAAACCCCUGUCAUUUGCGAUCAAACCUCGUUAUUUAAAAGAUGACGAGCUGAUGGUAGCGGAAGAGGAAGUGACGGCUAACUCUGUGCCAGCAGCCGCGGUAAUACAGAGGUCCCAAGCUUUGUUCGGAUUCACUGGGCGUAAAGGGUGAGUAGGUGG